CCCCUCCCCGCGGCAGCGCCCGGGCCUCGGCAGCUGCGGGCUCGGGGCUCCCGCCGGCCCGUGCCCCACCCCCUCCCGGGGUGUCCUGCUGUGGGCGCCGCCGCCCCCGCCCGGCUGGACUGAGGACUGCCCGCGGCCCAGAGCUUUGCCCCCGCCUGUGGGGUCGGUGACCCGGAGUUGGAGGGAGAGGGAGCGAGGGCUCGGGCGCGAAGGUUUGGCUGGAAUCGAGGGUGAACAGAGUCGACGGAUUCUGAUGUUAGCUUCCUUUCUGAGGAAUCCAGUUACCCCCGAAUGGCAGAAGGCUUCUCAGGAUGCAGUUUCUGGAGUACCCGCUCCUGUCAUCUUCACACUCUCACCACUGCUGCUUCCAUAAAAGACAAGAGAUGAAUGAGGAGUUUCAGCUCAUUCCCGAAGUACCCAUGGAAGAUGUUAGAGGAUAAACUACCAGAUAUGACCACUGAAUGUACAGAGAAAUAUCCAGGCUUUGGGCCCUGCUCUUUCCACUCUUGAUUUCCUCAAAGCUGGAAUUCGUUUCUGCAGCUUGCAACCAAGAGUGUUCACUAAUAUACAAUGUGUCUUUACAUGAGCAUCCUGGGGCUGCCACUAGUAUAUGAACCAUCAAUAGUUUUACAAGUGUAAAGGAUCAGGAACCAGAAGUAACACAGUCUUUCAGGCACCAGAUGAGUAGGCGAUGCCAGGAGAAAAAAGGUGGGAAGAGACUUUGAGAAGACUUAGAGGAAGGAGAAAGUCCACAGCAUUUGUUAAGGGAACCUGGCCCUAUGUUUUCCUGGGAAUUUCUACUGGAGUACUACUUCUGGCUUCUUGUACCAUUGUUUGUCUUACUCAAGAGUUAGUUGACCAGUGAACUUAGUUAUAUUCAUUAGCUCAAAGUUCUUGACUGAGUCGAGCUAAUCUAGCAAAAAAUCCCUAAUUACUGUGAUUCAUUCUCUUUUUUCCGUUUCUGACCUAGACUUGGGUAGACAUACUUGGGUAAACGUGUUUGCUCUGUAGGCCAGUGUUCCCCUUUUGGUGGCCUAUUCUCAGGGUAGAUUCUUUAGGGGUUGAGAGUGAGCAGAAUGUUGCCAACCCCUUUGGGUUAUAUAGAUCAAGAACCCUUUAUUAGCCUAUCUGUAAUAAAGUUGAC
ensembl:lncRNA